UUGGAGGGCAAGUCUGGUGCCAGCAGCCGCGGUAAUUCCAGCUCCAAUAGCGUAUAUUAAAGUUGUUGCAGUUAAAAAGCUCGUAGUUGAAUUUCGGGAUCAAUAUAACGGUCAUGCCGUUGGUAUGCACUGUUAUAAUUGGUUUCUCACCCUCUAAAGAACCGUAAUGCCAUUAAUUUGGUGUCACGGGGAAUUAGGACUGUUACCUUGAAAAAAUUAGAGUGUUUAAAGCAGGCUCACGCUUGAAUACAUUAGCAUGGAAUAAUGAAAUAGGACAUCCGAUUCUAUUUUGUUGGUUUCUAGGAUCGAUGUAAUGAUUAAUAGGGAUAGUUGGGGGCAUUAGUAUUCAAUUGUCAGAGGUGAAAUUCUUGGAUUUAUUGAAGACUAACUACUGCGAAAGCAUUUGCCAAGGAUGUUUUCAUUAAUCAAGAACGAAAGUUAGGGGAUCGAAGACGAUCAGAUACCGUCGUAGUCUUAACCAUAAACUAUGCCGACUAGGGAUCGGAUGAUGUUAAUUUUUUAAUGACUCAUUCGGCGCCUUACGGGAAACCAAAGUGUUUGGGUUC
rnacentral:rRNA from 1 species